rnacentral:lncRNA from 1 species
AAGGGUGCAGAUGGGUUCCUUGGGUCCAGCCUGCUAUGAUCGAGACCUGAACUGAAUCAUUUUGAGGUCCUGUGUCUGGACUGGAAUGAAACUGUGAAACUAUUAAAUCAAGUAACUUGAGUCAGCUGUGUCCUUGGGUUUUGGUAGGCAGUGAGUUUGCAGUGGACCUAACCUUUAAGCAAAUUCAAACACUGACUGAAACCUGGUAAAAUGGUGAGAAUUUUAGUCCAAGGCCUGUACAUGUUUGAGAUAUUUUUGAUGUGGUCACAGGUCUAUAUGAUGAUUCUGAUCCCUUCAUACUGUCAACUCUACCCGUCAAAUCGGCGCAUGCAGUUAGAUGGCAGAGGCUCCUAGCCUCCAACCAAUUGCCAACUACCUGCCAAGCUUAGCCCCCACUUUGGACUAUUGAAAGGCUCUAGUUCAGCAAAAGAACACCAAUGAAAACCAAAAAAUCUACAACCAAGAGAAGCAAACAAUAUACCCUACGUCUCUUUC